rnacentral:rRNA from 1 species
UGCUAGUCGCACGAGUUCAGACUCGUGGCGGAUAGCUCAGUAACACGUGGCCAAACUGCCCUACAGAUCGCGAUAACCUCGGGAAACUGAGGCUAAUAGCGAAUACGGCUCUCACGCUGGAGUUGUGGAGAGCUGGAAACGCUUCGGUGCUGUAGGAUGUGGCUGCGGCCGAUUAGGUAGACGGUGGGGUAACGGCCCACCGUGCCGAUAAUCGGUACGGGUCGUGAGAGCGAGAGCCCGGAGACGGAAUCUGAGACAAGAUUCCGGGCCCUACGGGGCGCAGCAGGCGCGAAACCUUUACACUGCACGACAGUGCGAUAAGGGGACUCCGAGUGCGAGGGCAUACAGUCCUCGCUUUUGUACACCGUAAGGUGGUGUACGAACAAGAGCUGGGCAAGACCGGUGCCAGCCGCCGCGGUAAUACCGGCAGUUCGAGUGAUGGCCGCUCUUAUUGGGCCUAAAGCGUUCGUAGCCGGCCACGCAAGUUCGUCGGGAAAUCUGCCCGCUUAACGGGCAGGCGUCCGGCGAAAACUGCGUGGCUUGGGACCAGGAGACUCGAGGAGUACGUUCGGGGUAGGAGUGAAAUCCCAUAAUCCCGAACGGACUACCGAUGGCGAAAGCGCCUCGAGAGCACGGAUCCGACGGUCAGGAACGAAAGCUGGGGUCUCGAACCGGAUUAGAUACCCGGGUAGUCCCAGCUGUUAACGAUGCUCG